UACGUAGGUGGCAAGCGUUGUCCGGAUUUACUGGGCGUAAAGAGCGCGCAGGCGGUCGACCAAGUCGCGUGUGAAAGCCCCCGGCUCAACUGGGGAGGGUCACGCGAUACUGAUCGACUCGAAGGCAGGAGAGGGUAGUGGAAUUCCCGGUGUAGUGGUGAAAUGCGUAGAUAUCGGGAGGAACACCAGUGGCGAAGGCGACUACCUG
rnacentral:rRNA from 1 species